rnacentral:rRNA from 1 species
UUAUAGGAGAAAUUUAUUUUCUUUUAGAAAAAUUAUUUUAUUAUUAAUUUGUGGUCGUGUAUAAUAUAAAAAUAAAAUUUUUGAACAAAAAUUUAAAAAACUUAUUAUGAAAAAAGAUUUGUACCUUGUUACAAAGAGAAAAAUUAAGGUAGUUUUAAAAACAUAAAAUAAAUGGCAGUAGAAUAUUCAAAUUAAGGAAUUUUGAAAUAUAAAUUGAUAAUCCUCAUUUUGAUUUACUUUAAAAAAUUUUUUGUGUUGCGGUUUAAUAAAAUUUUUAAAGAAUUAGUUUAGUUCAAGUUUAAUAUUAUAAAUAUUUAAAGGAAAUUUUGAAAUGCAGUUUAAUGUUAAUUUUUAAAUUAUAAAAAUUAGUACCUGAUAGUAAUAAAUAAUUUAAUAAAUUAGCCAUAUUCUAGGUUCAUAUCGUCCGUCACUCUCAAAUU